AGAGAUUUAAGUUAAAAAAACUAAUAGCCUUCAAAGCUUUAAAUGAUCUAAAAUCAAUCCCUAC
rnacentral:tRNA from 1 species